GUAGGUGAACCUGCGGAAGGAUCAUUAGAAGAAUUAUUGCUUAAUGCCUUGUGCAUUUGUAAUGUUUUCACCCACCCCGAGUGUAUUCUCGCUGUGCAUAUAUAGUGCGCAGUGAGUCUUUAUUCUUUUACACAACUCAUUGACACCAUUACCAAUCCUAGCGGAUAUCUAAGCAAAAAUAAAAACAACUUUUAGCAACGGAUCUCUAGGCUCUU
rnacentral:misc_RNA from 1 species